AUGGCGGCCGGCAGCGCCGGCGGCCUGGCGCGGCUCGGCGACGGCCGGCAGGUAACGGGCCGCGGGCAGAACCCGGGCCCCGCCGCAACGCUGCUGCCGCCCGCCCCUCUCCGCCUCCGGGGCCGGCCCCGCCCGGCCGCGGCGCCCCCAGCCCGGCCCUCGGGGUGGGUAAAAUGGCGGCGGCGCGGCCCGGGGCUGGGCGGCCCGCAGGGGGCUGAGCGCCUGCUGCUGCUCCGGCCUCGGCGCCGCGGCCUCGGGGCUCUGCCCGCCCGCCCGCAGGGGGUGCUCCGGCUGCCCUGGGGUGCUCCGGCUGCCCUGGGGUGCUGCCCUUCCCUUGUGAAGUGGCGCCGAGAUGAAAGGUGUCCUGACUUACCGGGAGCGCUUAGAAUGACAAAAGCACAGAAAGAAAGAAGCUGUUCAGAAGACAGGAAACCAAGGAAACAGGAGCCCCUGCAGGGUUCAAAAACAGCCUCAAUGUGA
rnacentral:lncRNA from 1 species